rnacentral:rRNA from 1 species
AAACUUUCAACAACGGAUCUCUUGGUUCUGGCAUCGAUGAAGAACGCAGCGAAAUGCGAUAAGUAAUGUGAAUUGCAGAAUUCAGCGAAUCAUCGAGUUUUUGAACGCACAUUGCGCCCGCUGGUAACUCCGGCGGGCACACCUGUUCGAGCGUCAUUU